UCACUGCUUGCGCAGGCAGUCUCGCUAGAGUCCCCGGCAUUAUCCGCUGGUAACUAGCAAUAGGGGUUGCGCUCGUUGCGGGACUUAACCCAACACCUCACGACACGAGCUGACGACAGCCAUGCAGCACCUGUGCAAGCUCCCGAAGGUCGGUUUGGUUUCCCAUCCCUACUACUUGCAUGUCAAGCCCAGGUAAGGUUCUUCGCGUUGCAUCGAAUUAAGCCACAUGCUCCGCCGCUUGUGCGGGUCCCCGUCAAUUCCUUUGAGUUUUAGCCUUGCGGCCGUACUCCCCAGGCGGGGUGCUUAAUGCGUUAGCUUCGGCACGGAGAGGGUUGAAGACCUCCCCACACCUAGCACCCAACGUUUACGGCUGGGACUAC
rnacentral:misc_RNA from 1 species